GCCGGUGCCUGUUGCGCCUGUGCCUGUCGCCCCGGUGCCUGUCGCGCCUGCUCCCAGCUCAGCUCUGCACUCAUACUUUCCGGCGUCUUUCUUCACCACUUUCUUCAGCACCAGAGACAGGUCUCCUUUCUCUGCGUUUAGCAGAGACGUGCGGCCCUUAUAGGCUUCCAGCUGACGUGCAUCCACCUUCUUGUCCUUGUAGAGAAGAACCGGCGCCGAGGUCUGGUCGGGUCUGCUCCACUCUGCCUGGACAACAGCUUUGUCCCCAGCAGUUUUACAGGGCAGAAUGACGUCUGCUCCAGCUUUAGCUUUGUUUGGGACCGGAUCUGCAGGAGGAGAACAACACAGAGAAAAGACCCUCAUUGGCUGAUCGGACGCAGGAAAUAUGGCGGCCAUCUUGGAGAGGUCGUCUAUCCUACUUGGCUAAACCAAAACAGCAGAAGAAGUCAGAUAUGUUUGUUCGGAUUGACAGACUGUUGGCGUGAGACAUUUCACAAGUGAACUGUGGUCUCUGUUAGAUUCUGCAGUGGACCAGAAGAGGCGUAGCUCUAAUGCCACAGCAGAUGCCAUUGUUGAAGUGGAGCGAUAUGAACCUAAGGAGAUAUGAAGAUCCUUUGGAGUAUUGGCAUACACA